AUGCUCACUUUGGCAGGACGUACACUAACAUGGAAACAAUACAGAGAAGAUUAGCUUGGCCUCUGCACAAGGAUGACACACAAAUUUGUGAAACAUUCUAUAUCAUU
ensembl:snRNA U6 U6 spliceosomal RNA